rnacentral:rRNA from 1 species
CUCGGCAACGGAUAUCUCGGCUCUCGCAUCGAUGAAGAACGUAGCGAAAUGCGAUACUUAGUGUGAAUUGCAGAAUCCCGUGAACCAUCGAGUCUUUGAACGCAAGUUGCGCCCGAAGCCAUUAGGCUGAGGGCACGUCUGCCUGGGCGUCACGC